UUUGUAUAUAUGAAGCAUUUCACCAAUAUUUGUUGAAUGAAUCAGCUCAUUUUUUUUUUUUUCAGGUGAAGGGAGACCUCUUUGAAGAGGUUAAGUGACUGGUCCAAGGUGACACAAUUACAUAUGGCACAGGAAGGACUAGAGUUUUGCCCUUUGCCUCUUGGUGCUGUGUUCUUUGUGAUGUUUCAUGCAACCCAUGUUGCAGACAGCUGAAAGAUAAUUUAGAUACAUUACCCAUAGGGAGUGACUUGACGUGCCAUCAAAGACAUCCUCUGCUUAUGCAGAUGCACCAGAUGUGGCCAAAGGAAACUGCUCAAAUCGUUUGCUCCCACUAGCAGCUCAUGAGGUGAUCCCGACAGCAAUUUACCAGAAGGGUCAACAUUGUGAAAGUGGCUAUUUAAGAAGAGUAGCAUCUCAGGUCCUAGCAUCUCAAAGGUGCUUGGAAAAUAGCUCCUUCUUGGAAAAUUACCAACACUUACACAUAGGAUUUCUGUGGUUAAAAAAAGUCCACCAAGUUCUCCUCUUUCUACCAGCAGAGGGCAUGUUUCACAGCCCUGUCUCUUUAUGCCCAUCGACUAAAGGUAAGAAAAAAAAGGGUCUGAAUGUUUUAUGUCCUGCAUGCCCAAAGGCUUUAAAAAGUUAUUAUUGUUGU
rnacentral:lncRNA from 1 species